UAGCGUAAUUUUAUGAAUUUAAAUUUAUUUUAAAUAGAAUCUUGAGCUGCAUGUAAGAGCAACCUAGAGAGACUCUGACAGCUCAGGUAGGCCCAAUACCUGAGGCUGCCACUCACCUUUCCUAUAAGG
ensembl:snoRNA small nucleolar RNA SNORA44